rnacentral:lncRNA from 1 species
GACGAUCCACACUGGCUUCCCCGUUUCAGACCAAAACUGAUCGAUGCGUGCUAUUUUCGUGUACUUUUUUUUUUCCGAGCGAGUUUUCUUUUAAGAUGAACAGGGACCAUUGAUUUCGGUCCCAACUUUUCAUUGAGACCCAACAGGUCAGAUGGAACAGAGUAGCAAAAUGCGAGGUGUCGGAACAGUUAUCAGGCCAAAAGCUACCAAACUUCUAGUCCUAUCUUUGCAAAGCCAAAAUGACCUAUAGCUAUUACAAGCCGGCGCGCGGCAAUCAACGAGCCACGCAUUGCAUCGAAGUGGAGCAUGGAGCGCCGCCAGCUUCUUCUUCUUCUUCUUCUUCUUCUUCACGGGAGAUGGCUGGGGGGAUGCCAGAGGGGCUCAGCGAGCUUUAGUGCAUUUGGGGGGGAUAACUGGAGCGCGUCUGAGAUCUUGAGCCUUGCAUAAUCUCCCAGAAGGUUGUCGUCAGGCCUCGGUGACAGCGGCCGAAUCAUACCUCCAGUAGAUUCAAUUGCUGCUAACGCCAGCCCAAGAGAGGGGGUGCCUUCAGCACCGAGCGGAGGAGGGUACAUAAAUCCUCUACCUGCCCCAAAUUCUCCCGCUUGAAGAUAAUUCUCCAUUUCUGGAUAGAUUGAAGGAUUAGCACCAUAGUUGAUCAGAGCUUGACCAAACAGCUUUAUUAAAAAGAAAGCUAUUCCUAAAUUUUUGAAUGCACCACAGGACUGCAGAGCAUAUAGAAUUCAGAGCCCCAUGUUUCUUAUUGGAAAGUCAGAAUCUGGCUAUAGAUUCUAAAUCAGCGCCUAGCAGCCUUUUGAAAUAAAGGGAGACUGAUUUCCCGAUCGUUCUAGCAACCACA